rnacentral:rRNA from 1 species
CCCUUAGACGUUCUGGGCCGCACGCGCGCUACACUGACCAGUGCAACAAGCAUCCGUCCUUGGCCGACAGGCCCGGGCAAUCUUUGAACGCUGGUCGUGAUGGGGAUAGACUUUUGCAAUUUUUGGUCUUCAACGAGGAAUUCCUAGUAAACACAAGUCAUCAACUUGCAUUGAUUACGUCCCUGCCCUUUGUACACACCGCCCGUCGCACCUACCGAUUGAAUGGUCCGGUGAAGCCUCCGGAUUGGCGCGCACCUCGGUGCCGCCGAGAAGUUGGCUAAACCUUACCAUUUAGAGGAAGGCGAAGUCGUAACA